UACGUAGGGGGCAAGCGUUGUCCGGAAUCAUUGGGCGUAAAGAGCGUGUAGGCGGCUCGGGUAGUCUGGUGUGAAAUCUUUCGGCUCAACCGGAAGCGGUCACUGGAUACUCUCGGGCUUGAAUCCGGAAGAGGAGAGUGGAAUUCCUGGUGUAGCGGUGGAAUGCGCAGAUAUCUGGAGGAAUACCGGUGGCGAAGGCGGCAUCCUGGACCGACAUUGACGCUGAACGGCGAAAGCUAGGGGAGCAAACGGG
rnacentral:rRNA from 1 species